GAUGAACGCUGGCGGCGUGCCUAAUACAUGCAAGUCGAGCGAACGGACGAGAAGCUUGCUUUUCUGAUGUUAGCGGCGGACGGGUGAGUAACACGUGGAUAACCUACCUAUAAGACUGGGAUAACUUCGGGAAACCGGAGCUAAUACCGGAUAAUAUUUUGAACCGCAUGGUUCAAUAGUGAAAGACGGUCUUGCUGUCACUUAUAGAUGGAUCCGCGCUGCAUUAGCUAGUUGGUAAGGUAACGGCUUACCAAGGCAACGAUGCAUAGCCGACCUGAGAGGGUGAUCGGCCACACUGGAACUGAGACACGGUCCAGACUCCUACGGGAGGCAGCAGUAGGGAAUCUUCCGCAAUGGGCGAAAGCCUGACGGAGCAACGCCGCGUGAGUGAUGAAGGUCUUCGGAUCGUAAAACUCUGUUAUUAGGGAAGAACAUAUGUGUAAGUAACUGUGCACAGCUUGACGGUACCUAAUCAGAAAGCCACGGCUAACUACGUG
rnacentral:rRNA from 1 species